rnacentral:rRNA from 1 species
CCUACGGGAGGCAGCAGUAGGGAAUAUUGGUCAAUGGGCGAAAGCCUGAACCAGCAACGCCGCGUGCGCGAUGAAGGCCUUCGGGUCGUAAAGCGCUUUUGGGAGGGAUGAAAAUGACAGUACCUCCCGAAUAAGGAUCGGCUAACUACGUGCCAGCAGCCGCGGUAAGACGUAGGAUCCAAGCGUUAUCCGGAAUUACUGGGCGUAAAGGGCGUGUAGGAGGUUGGGCAAGUCGGCCAUGAAAGCUCCCGGCUCAACUGGGAGAGGCUGGUCGAUACUGCCUGGCUAGAGGGCAAGAGAGGGAGGUGGAAUUCCCGGUGUAGUGGUGAAAUGCGUAGAUAUCGGGAGGAACACCAGUGGCGAAGGCGGCCUCCUGGCUUGUACCUGACUCUGAAACGCGAAAGCAUGGGUAGCAAACAGGAUUAGAAACCCUGGUAGUCCAUGCCAUAAACGAUGUCAACUGGGUGUCGGCGAAGUAAAAUUUGUCGGUGCCGAAGCUAACGCGUUAAGUUGACCGCCUGAGGACUACGAUCGCAGAAUAAACUAACAAUAGUAAUUAGUACGGCGUGAGACGUGCCGAACGGACGACGACGAGGGAGGUAGG